GUUCGCCCAUUUUCUUUAACAUUGCCAUUAAAUUUUGUAAUCUUCGGUGGAAAAUUGUCUUAGCCAGGGUAUUUUGUGGAUUGUUUAUGUGGGUUACUGUAUUCCAUAGCUUAAGUGGUUCAGCUUGUUCGGUUAACAGGAAUCCGCCUGGUGUGGACUACAAGACCCGUAAGCUGCCAAAAACUGCAAACAACAAGUAUUAUUACGUGAUUAGUAACUUCACUUGAGAAACAUCUACAACUGGGUCAUGGGCCCAGCUUCAGGCCGGCCGCGAAGUCUCGUGGAAAACGUCAGAACAUGUUCAACCACGCGAAAGUGCGCAAACGUGCAGUGCGAAACUUGAUUCGUAGCCAACUGACUCCCUGAUACAGUGUAUUAGGGAUUCAACCGAUUCUUCGGAAUCCCUGGCUCGUGGCCGAGGUGAUGAAUCCCCAUUCAUGGCCAGGGUGAAUGUGGCUUCCAUCCAGUGCGCUUCCUUGGUCUGGGAGAAAUUCAAAGUGGCACUGAAGAACAGCAACCAGGAAAUAAUCAGCUUGAGUUCCUUACACAAACUCCCUCUCGAAACACGUCUAAAGAAAUUCAGUACCGUCAUUCGACCGGCGUUCGGAACCUCGUUCAUGCUUUCGUGUUUAAUCAUUGACUCGGAUAUUCUUAAUCAAAACAUGACAAUUGCUCGACAGCGAGUGCGCAUUCUGGUAGUCUUGAAUUUUCCCAGGAUGUUACCCGCUUACUGCAACUUCCAAACCCCCCAAUGACACUUUUCACUCUAACAAUACGGCGUGCUAUCCAGCUGUACGCUGGAGAGUAUGACUGCAUACAGAUGGAAAAAGGAAUCCAGACGAGCACCAAGUACCUUGUCAGUCCAGUUUAUAAACCAGAACAUGUCUUCCAACCUCCAAUGCGCAAUACAACAGCGUGCACCGAUGAUAGUGUUGAGUUUCGAUGCUACACGCAGUUUAACUGGACCAAAGGCCCUAUGAGGGAGUUUAUGCAGCGGUUCAUUUGGUAUCAUCACAAACGCGGCAUUUUGUAUGCUCCUGAUGACCACCCUGUGAAAGCAAUCGCACUAACCGAAAGCGGCGUUCCUGGCAGCAAUGCCACCUUUAGUUUCAACGUAACGCAGACUAGCGACAGCUGCUCUUGCUAUUCAUCCCUAGUAAUUUCCCGGGCAGCAGCUCAGUGGGCGGGGCAAAUUGAAUGCUGGUUUCAGAUUGACUCUUUUUUAGACGAAUGGCUAAGGCAAUCGGCAUAUUUAAUUUUAAAGCACUAACUCACAUGAGUGAAUUUCAGUCGCAUGCAGUUUCAGUAUUGUAUUCAUUUUGUAAGUUCUGCGUAAAUCUGAAUGUAACUUCACAUGUGCCGCAAAGGGUUUUUUUAUGGGAUGUAUUUACCGUAUCCUUUUAAUACAAUUGCUGCUUA